GAUGAACGCUGGCGGCGUGCCUAAUACAUGCAAGUCGAGCGAACGGACGAGAAGCUUGCUUUUCUGAUGUUAGCGGCGGACGGGUGAGUAACACGUGGAUAACCUACCUAUAAGACUGGGAUAACUUCGGGAAACCGGAGCUAAUACCGGAUAAUAUUUUGAACCGCAUGGUUCAAAAGUGAAAGACGGUCUUGCUGUCACUUAUAGAUGGAUCCGCGCUGCAUUAGCUAGUUGGUAAGGUAACGGCUUACCAAGGCAACGAUGCAUAGCCGACCUGAGAGGGUGAUCGGCCACACUGGAACUGAGACACGGUCCAGACUCCUACGGGAGGCAGCAGUAGGGAAUCUUCCGCAAUGGGCGAAAGCCUGACGGAGCAACGCCGCGUGAGUGAUGAAGGUCUUCGGAUCGUAAAACUCUGUUAUUAGGGAAGAACAUAUGUGUUAGUAACUGUGCACAUCUUGACGGUACCUAAUCAGAAAGCCACGGCUAACUACGUG
rnacentral:rRNA from 1 species